rnacentral:rRNA from 1 species
CGAACGGCAAGUGGAGUAGCAAUACAACACCUAGAGUGACGUAAGGGUGCGUAACAAGUAUGCAAUCUGCCCUCAACAGGAGGAUAGCUCCCCGAAAGGGGAAUUAACACUCCGUAAGAUCGUGUUGUGGCAUCACAAAGCGAUUAAAACUCCGGUGGUUGAGGAUGAGCAUGCUUCUGAUUAGCUAGUUGGUAGUGUAAUGGACUACCAAGGCGAUGAUCAGUAGGGGAACUGAGAGGUUGAUCCCCCACACUGGCACUGAGAUACGGGCCAGACUCCUACGGGAGGCAGCAGUAGGGAAUAUUGGUCAAUGGAUGCAAGUCUGAACCAGCCAUGCCGCGUGCAGGAAGAAGGCCUUCUGGGUCGUAAACUGCUUUUGCCAGGGGCUAAAAAGCCCAUGCGUGGGAAAUUGAAAGUACCUGGUGAAUAAGCCACGGCUAACUACGUGCCAGCAGCCGCGGUAAUACGUAGGUGGCAAGCGUUGUCCGGAUUUAUUGGGUUUAAAGGGUGCGUAGGCGGCCCUAUAAGUCAGUGCUGAAAUAUCCCGGCUUAACCGGGAGGGUGGCAUUGAUACUGUAGGGCUUGAGUGUAGUCGAGGUAGGCGGAAUUGACGGUGUAGCGGUGAAAUGCUUAGAUAUCGUCAAGAACACCGAUAGUGUAGACAGCUUACUAGGCUACAACUGACGCUGAGGCACGAAAGUGUGGGGAUCAAACAGGAUUAGAUACCCUGGUAGUCCACACUGUAAACGUUGAUUACUCGAUGUUGGCGAUACACAGUC